rnacentral:lncRNA from 1 species
GACAGAGAUAUAUCCAAGGUGUCUCUGUGUUGUGGUGUGGUGAUGUCCAGGAACUUGAAACUCUGCUAUGGCUGAGUCCACAGCCUGAAUGGCUGUAAGAAGCAUGGUACAAAAUGGUCCACCACUAUUACAGGAAUAUUCACAUCAGCAUGAAGGAAUUUAAUAUCAAUCUGAAUUACAAGAGAAGAAAGGGGGUUAAUCAUCAGGGAUGAAACAGAUUACCAGCUUUUGAACCAAUUUAAGUAGAAUCUCCAGAAACAAAGCCAGGACAAAUAAUUAUUGGCAGUUCACAGAAGGCAUUCUGUGCCCACAGCUCUGCAGGAUACCGUUAAAGUCAGUUCACGUGUCUUAAUGGGAAACACCUGAGGUCUGGAACACAA